rnacentral:rRNA from 1 species
AUGGGUUCGAGAGUCUUUCUUGUCGCGGCCGUGCUGGCCAUGGCCGUGGCGGCGGCGGGGGCGGACGUCGCGGCGGACCGGGCGGAGUGCUCCGACAAGCUGGUGGCGCUGGCGACGUGCCUGACGUUCGUGCAGGGGCAGGGGCAGGCGCCGACGCCGGACUGCUGCGGGGGGCUGAAGACGGUGCUGCAGACCAGCCCCAAGUGCCUGUGCGUGCUCGUCAAGGACCGCGACGAUCCCGGCCUGGACUUGAAGCUCAACGUCACGAGGGCGCUCGGCCUCCCCGCCGCCUGCAGCGCGCCCGCCAACAUCUCCGACUGCCCAAGGCUACUGAACCUGCCGCCCAAUUCCAAGGACGCGGAGGUCUUCGAGCAGUUUGCCAAGCAGCAGGCAGCCCAGAGCAGCCCAAGUGGCGCGUCGAGUGCGCCGAGCACGGGCGCACAGAAGAACGCGGCGGCGAGGAUGAGGUGGUUGGGAGUGGGCGGAGUUGGUGUGGCCGCACGCGCAGCGCCGCUCCUCUUCUUCGCCGUGCCUUUCUUGCUCCUUCUGCGCUAA